GGUUGUAGUUCAAUGGUAGAACAUCUGCUUUGCACACAGAAGGUCCAAGUCUCAAUUCUCAGAAUGUCCA